rnacentral:rRNA from 1 species
GAGUUUGACUCCGUGGCUCGAGGACACGCUGGCGGCGUGCUUAACACAUGCAAGUCGAACGAUGACGACCGUGCUUGCACGGUCUGAUUAGUGGCGAACGGGUGAGUAACACGUGAGUAACCUGCCCUUCACUUCGGGAUAACCUCGGGAAAUCGUGGCUAAUACCGGAUAUGAACCCUUGUCGCAUGGUGGGGGUUGGAAAGAUUUAUCGGUGAAGGAUGGACUCGCGGCCUAUCAGUUGUUGGUGAGGUAAUGGCUCACCAAGACGAUGACGGGUAGCCGGCCUGAGAGGGCGACCGGCCACACUGGGACUGAGACACGGCCCAGACUCCUACGGGAGGCAGCAGUGGGAAAUAUUGCACAAUGGGCGAAAGCCUGAUGCAGCGACGCCGCGUGAGGGAUGACGGCCUUCGGGUUGUAAACCUCUUUCAGUAGGGAAGAAGCGAGAGUGACGGUACCUGCAGAAGAAGCGCCGGCUAACUACGUG